rnacentral:rRNA from 1 species
GAUGAACGCUGGCGGCGUGCCUAAUACGUGCAAGUCGAGCGAACAGAUGAGGAGCUUGCUCCUCUGACGUUAGCGGCGGACGGGUGAGUAACACGUGGAUAACCUACCUAUAAGACUGGGAUAACUUCGGGAAACCGGAGCUAAUACCGGAUAAUAUAUUGAACCGCAUGGUUCAAUAGUGAAAGACGGUUUUGCUGUCACUUAUAGAUGGAUCCGCGCCGCAUUAGCUAGUUGGUAAGGUAACGGCUUACCAAGGCAACGAUGCGUAGCCGACCUGAGAGGGUGAUCGGCCACACUGGAACUGAGACACGGUCCAGACUCCUACGGGAGGCAGCAGUAGGGAAUCUUCCGCAAUGGGCGAAAGCCUGACGGAGCAACGCCGCGUGAGUGAUGAAGGUCUUCGGAUCGUAAAACUCUGUUAUUAGGGAAGAACAAAUGUGUAAGUAACUAUGCACGCCUUGACGGUACCUAAUCAGAAAGCCACGGCUAACUACGUG